GUCGGCUCGAGGACGACGCUGGCGGCGUGCCUAAUACAUGCAAGUCGGACGCUUCUUUUCGAAAACUUCGGGUUUUUUAAAAGAGGAGUGGCGGACGGGUGAGUAACACGUGGGUAACCUGCCCAUCAGCGGGGGAUAACACUUGGAAACAGGUGCUAAUACCGCAUAGAUCCGUUUUCUGCAUGGAAGAAGGAGGAAGGACGCUUUCAAGCGUCACUGAUGGAUGGACCCGCGGUGCAUUAGCCAGUUGGUGGGUAACGGCCUACCAAAGCAACGAUGCAUAGCCGACCUGAGAGGGUGAUCGGCCACACUGGGACUGAGACACGGCCCAGACUCCUACGGGAGGCAGCAGUAGGGAAUCUUCGGCAAUGGACGCAAGUCUGACCGAGCAACGCCGCGUGAGUGAAGAAGGUUUUCGGAUCGUAAAACUCUGUUGUCAGAGAAGAACAAAGGUGAGAGGAAAUGCUCGCUUUUUGACGGUAUCUGACCAGAAAGCCACGGCUAACUACGUG
rnacentral:rRNA from 1 species